rnacentral:tRNA from 1 species
AGCCUAGUGGUUAAAGCUAUGGAUUGCCAAUCCGGAGACGGCGGGUUCGAUUCCCGU